GGGUGUAUAGCUCAGUGAUAGAGUGAGUGCUUAGCAUGCACGAGGUCCUGGGUUCAAUCCCCAGUACCUCCA
rfam:Camelus ferus unplaced genomic scaffold scaffold1340, whole genome shotgun sequence.